AACGCUGAAGGAGGAGCUUGCUUCUCUGGAUGAGUUGCGAACGGGUGAGUAACGCGUAGGUAACCUGCCUGGUAGCGGGGGAUAACUAUUGGAAACGAUAGCUAAUACCGCAUAAUAGUAGUUGUUGCAUGACAACUGUUUGAAAGGUGCAAUUGCAUCACUACCAGAUGGAUCUGCGUUGUAUUAGCUAGUUGGUGGGGUAACGGCUCACCAAGGCGACGAUACAUAGCCGACCUGAGAGGGUGAUCGGCCACACUGGGACUGAGACACGGCCCAGACUCCUACGGGAGGCAGCAGUAGGGAAUCUUCGGCAAUGGACGGAAGUCUGACCGAGCAACGCCGCGUGAGUGAAGAAGGUUUUCGGAUCGUAAAGCUCUGUUGUAAGAGAAGAACGAGUGUGAGAGUGGAAAGUUCACACUGUGACGGUAUCUUACCAGAAAGGGACGGCUAACUACGUGCCAGCAGCCGCGGUAAUACGUAGGUCCCGAGCGUUGUCCGGAUUUAUUGGGCGUAAAGCGAGCGCAGGCGGUUAGAUAAGUCUGAAGUUAAAGGCUGUGGCUUAACCAUAGUACGCUUUGGAAACUGUUUAACUUGAGUGCAAGAGGGGAGAGUGGAAUUCCAUGUGUAGCGGUGAAAUGCGUAGAUAUAUGGAGGAACACCGGUGGCGAAAGCGGCUCUCUGGCUUGUAACUGACGCUGAGGCUCG
rnacentral:rRNA from 1 species